GACGCUGAACCAGGUGGCCUGGACAUCGGCUGCAACCCGAUGGCCUCGGGGUUCGAUUCCCGGCGGCGUCU
rnacentral:tRNA from 1 species